UACGUAGGUGGCAAGCGUUGUUCGGAAUUAUUGGGCGUAAAGGGCGCGUAGGCGGCAUGUUAAGUCGGCUGUGAAAGCCUGGGGCUCAACCCCAGAGGGUCGGCCGAUACUGGCAAGCUAGAGUACGGAAGAGGUAGCUGGAAUUCCCGGUGUAGCGGUGAAAUGCGUAGAUAUCAAGAGGAACACCUGAGGUGAAGACGGGUUGCUGGGCCGACACUGACGCUGAGUGCGCGAAAGCCAGGGGAGCAAACGGG
rnacentral:rRNA from 1 species